rnacentral:other from 1 species
CAAAUGCUGCGUUGUACGCUUGGAUAUGAAGUUUCAACCUUUAUUUUUGAUUAGGGAGUUCAAUACCAUUACUAAAACAACAAGCCUUCUCUGAAAGGACGUUUGUGCAGGUAAUUGCGGACACCCACCUGUAGGAGCAGGUAUGAAACUCCAUAUAAAUCGGCGGCAAAGGCGGCUGUACA